rnacentral:lncRNA from 1 species
CUUCCUGCCAGGACUGAGAUCCGGGUCCCACCUUCUGCCAAAUGAGCGACAAGGUCCUCAACUUCUCCAAAGUUAAAAGGCCCAGAAGCCUCUGCAGUUUUCGUCGGGCUGGCUGAGGGAUUCCCGCCCCACCUCGCCCCUCACAGAGGAAAGGACGGCGCAGAUAAACCCUCGACACGUAUUUGUAGUGUGGACGCGCCCCACCCUACUCCUGCUGGGUGAAGCCAUUCCUCUAGAGGUACCCGCCGCGUAACACAAGGCAGAGGGAGGCAGCCCUCUCUUAGAGGAGCCGAGUGGGGCGGGGACGGUCGCGCCCCAGUGGCCGCCGCCCCGAGCGUCCGCCUGCCCCACCCUUCUCAUUUACACCCAAGGAGGCCGCUGGCUCCUCUGGCUGCGGCGCACCCUGCGAGCUGGCUGCCGCCCCCACGUCCGCCAGUUCCAUGGCCCAGGCCUCGGCGUCUUCCUCGUCGUCGUCGCCGCCGCCUUCCUCCUCCGGCUCCACCCCCAGCUUCUCCAUCCCGCCGCUGCCAACCGCAGCGCUACUUCCGGCCGCUUCCGCCUGGUCUCCAGGGAAACCGGGGGACUACAGUCUCCAGUCGCUCUGUGCCUCUCGCCUGCGCAGUCGUGGCCGACCAGCCUGUUGCCCAGAGUGACACGCAUGCCAAGGAAUCGUGGAGGCCCACGUGCGGGAGUUUUUUCCCGCCGGGUGGAGGCCGGAAGCGGAGAGAUUGAAAGCACAAAUGGCUAUUUUUUUUUUUUUUGAGACGGAGUUUCGUUCUUGUUGCUCAGGCUGGAGUGGGCAACAGUGACGCAAUACCGGCUCACUGCAACCUCUGCCUCCCGGAUUCAAGCGAUUCUCCUGCCUCAGCCUCCCAAGUAGCUGGGAUUAACAGGCAUGCGCCAUCACGCCCAGCUAAUUUUUUUGUAUUUAGUAGAGACGAGGUUUCACCAUGUUGGUCAGGCUGGUUUCGAACUCCUGUCCUCAGGUGAUCCACCCUCCUAGGCCUCCCAAAGUGUUGAGAUCACAGGCAUGAGCCACUGCGCCUGGCCUUUUUUUUUUUUUCUUGAAGGCUUUGGAGUUAGGCCCACAUCACAAAUUUUAGCGUUUUGUCUUUGUUCCAUUCGGCUGUUAGCAAACUUGCAAAUCCCUAGACCUGAGUGAUUAAUGUGAUGGGGUGGGAAGGAGUGUAACUGAUAGUAAAGACACAGGUGGCCUUGUAAACUCAUAUGAUUAGCAACUAUGUUAAGGUUUGCUGUGUUUUGUUUGUUGUUGUUUUAUUUAAAGACACUGUGACGAAUUCAACCACAGAAUUUUUAACAUCAAAACUGAAUAGGAUUUGAUACAUGAGUGUUGUAGUCAGACAAAAUCUCCAAUCCAGACCCUCCAUCAUGCUGUGUGACUUUGGGCAGGUUACAUAACUGCUGUGAGCCUCAGUUGCUCUACUCUUAAAAAAAAAAAAAAGUAUUGAGAUUGAAUGAAUGGAUAAAAGCUACCAUAUACUGUAAUAUCCUAAUGUAUAUAAAACAUGUGGCACAUAGGAAGUGCUCAGUAAAUGUCUAUUCUCCUUGCCUUCUAUUAGGAUACCAUGUGUGCAUGUGUGUGUUGGUGUGUGUAUGUGUAUGUUUUACAAUAGAGGAAAUUUGGAAAUUCCUCCAUGCCUGUAUGUAUGUAUAUACACUAUAUCUGUAUAAAUACCCAAAUUAACACAUAUGUUUGGUUUUUUAUAUGAUUCUACUUCUUAUCAAAUAAAAUAUUAGAACCUUGAGAAACCCUUUAAAGCAGCCAUUCCCAACCUUUUUGGCACCAGGGGCUGGUUUCAUGGAAGACAAUUUUUCCACAGACAGAAGGGAGGGGGAUGGUUUUGGGAUGAUCCAAGUGCGUUACAUUUGUUGUGCACUUUAUUUCUAUUAUUAUUACAUUUUAAUAGAUAAUGAGGUAGAAUCAGUGGGAGCCCUGAGCGUGUUUUCCUGCAACUAGACUGUCCCAUCUGGGGUGAUGGGAGAUAGUGAUAGAUCAUCAGGCAUUAGAUUCUCAUAAGAAGCAUGCAACCUAGAUCCCUCGCAUGCGAGUUCACAGUAGCGUUCAGGCUCCUGUGAGAAUCUAAUGCCGCUGCUGAUCUGACAAGAAGCAGUGCUCAGGCAGUCAUGCCAGUAGUGGAGAGUGGCUGUGAAUACAGAUGAAGCUGCACUCCCGGGCCCGCUACUCACCUCCUGCUAUGCGGCAUGGUUCUUAACAGGCCAGGGACUGGUUCUGGUCCAUGGCCUGGGGACUGGGGACCCCUGCUUUAAAGGAUAUGUUGAUGCAUCCAUGAAGAAAAGGGAAUAACAAGCAGAGCUGGGUCUCAGUGGUUUGGAAACAAAAUCUUCCUCUUUGCAUAUUUAAUUCUUAGAUGUCUGGACCAGUUCUUUCAAAGUCUGCUAUCUAGGUUAUAAAUUACCUGUUCAGAGAGCUAGGCUGCUAUCUUUGUGAAAGCUGUUUGAUAAGUCUAGAUAGUUGUUUGGUGGUUUUUCAUUUUAUUUAGUUAUUUAUUUAUUUAUUUUGAGACAGAGUCUCAGUCUGUCUCCCAGGUUGGAGUGCAGUGGUGCGAUCUGGGCUCACUGCAACCUCUGCCUCCUGGGUUCAAACAAUUCUCCUGCCUCAGCCACCUGAGUAGCUGUGAUUACAGGCGUGUGCCACCAUACCCAGCUAAUUUUUGUAUUUUCAGUAGAGACAGGGUUUCACCAUGUUGGCCAGGCUGGUUUCCAACUCCUGACCUCAAGUGAUCCGCCCGCCUUGGCCUCCCAAAGUGUUAGGACUACAGGCAUGAGCCACCGCGACCCAGCCUACAUAGAGAGC